CUGAACUAGCUCAAACAAAGACAAUCAGGUAUGGGCAUCGAGCAUUGACCCUGCGUGUACAUCCUGGUGCUGCCCACAGGCACAGCAACGCGACCUUCUCAACGCCGCUCUGCUACAAAAUUGACCAGUUCCAAGAAGAUUGGUGUGAUUGUGAG